rnacentral:rRNA from 1 species
GAUGAACGCUGGCGGCGUGCCUAAUACAUGCAAGUCGAGCGAACGGACGAGAAGCUUGCUUCUCUGAUGUUAGCGGCGGACGGGUGAGUAACACGUGGAUAACCUACCUAUAAGACUGGGAUAACUUCGGGAAACCGGAGCUAAUACCGGAUAAUAUUUUGAACAGCAUGGUUCAAAAGUGAAAGACGGUCUUGCUGUCACUUAUAGAUGGAUCCGCGCUGCAUUAGCUAGUUGGUAAGGUAACGGCUUACCAAGGCAACGAUGCAUAGCCGACCUGAGAGUGUGAUCGGCCACACUGGAACUGAGACACGGUCCAGACUCCUACGGGAGGCAGCAGUAGGGAAUCUUCCGCAAUGGGCGAAAGCCUUACGGAGCAACGCCGCGUGAGUGAUGAAGGUCUUCGGAUCGUAAAACUCUGUUAUUAGGGAAGAACAUAUGUGUAAGUAACUGUGCACAUCUUGACGGUACCUAAUCAGAAAGCCACGGCUAACUACGUG